CCUUUACUUCACUCACUCACUCACAGUCAUGCGACCACCGAGAAUUGAGACGGUUAUUGCGGCGGCGCAAUUGCUUCCGCCGGUGGCGUCUUUCAAAUCCCUAGAAGUAGAACACGCUGAUCGCUGCUUUCACUCACUCGUCGACCACGCCGUUUCUUGGCUUCCACCCUCAACCAACCUUCAAUCGCUGCUUUCACUCACUCGUCUCUCUGUUUUCUUUCAUCUUCUUCGACCACGCCGCACAGGAAAGGAUCAAAAGAUUGGGAGCGACAACACCGCUCCUCCUCCUCCGUCUCCGUUCUUGUUGUAUUCACCGUGUCCAGGUUGGGUCAUACCAUGCAUCUUCAUUAUUGGUAGCAUCCAGACCUCCAACUCCAGGAGUUCUUAGUUGAGGAAUUGGUUGGGAAGGUCUUUCUAGUGUCUUGGCCGGUCUCUGGGGAACUGGAGCUGUGUCUACAACUUCAACGGGAAACGUUCGCACAAUUGCUGUGACUAAAUUUGGAAGCCACAGGGCAGUUCAACUGGGUGCAUGCUUUCUGAUAGUGUUGUCUCUUGUGGUGAUGGCGAUGGAGUCCCAAGCUGAAGCUCUGGGGCAGUUGACAAGUGAUGAUCUUGAAGGGAAGGUCGAGUAGAUUUGUCAGAUGUGAAGUAUCAAGUGUUGUUUUCACGGAAGAAUGGUUAUACAGGAUUCAUGUGUAGCAUGAGAGAUGCUAAGAUGUCAUUGUUUCUGGUUGAGAUUUGAGAAUGAAAGGUUACUACACUGAUUCCAGGGUAGAUAAAAUGCUUAUGUUGAUCCCCAUUGUGAGUGCUGUCUGGUUGUCACGGAAGAAUGGUUAUACGAGAUUCAUGUGUAGCACGGGAGAUGCUAAGAUGUCAUUGUUUCCGGUUGAGAAUGAAAGGUUACUAUGCGGAUUCCAGGUAACUGCAGGAGAAUAUCUUUUCUCGAAGCAAGUGACAAUAAAGGAGAUGCCAACAUGAAAAAAAUUUCCGGAAGGGAUAAUUGAGGCUAAAAGGUUUGUUGUAUUGUUAUCUAAAUGUAGCUCAUUUUGCACUGUCUUGAUAUUCGAUUUUUUUAUGAGAAUUAACAAACACAAAAUAAUGGCUUUCGUAUCCCUUAUUUACAACCAUGAGUUAUAUAAGUGGAGAGAGUCCUUAUAAACUUAAUGCCUAAAGAGGCAGUGAAAGGAUACUUGGAGGAGUCAUGUCUAGUACUCAAUGUCUAACGAGUCAGUGAAAUAAUACAGGAGAAGUCCUUAUAAACUAGUGAGGCAGAGUCCUUAUAAACUCGUGAGGAUGAGUCCUUAUAAACUCGAUAGGAGGAGUCUUCCUUAUAAACUCGUGAGGAGGAGUCCUUAUAAACUCAAUACCUAAGGAGGCAGUGAAAUAAUACUUGAAGGAGUCCUGGAUAAUAACUCAAUGCAUGAAGAGGCAGUGAAACAAUACUUGGAGGAGUCUUGAACAAUACUCAAUGCCUGAAGACAGAGUCAAAUAAUACUUGGAGUAGUCCUGUCGAAUACUUAUUGGGAGAAGUCAUGGUGAAUACUUGUAAGGAGAAGUCCUUGAUACUUGCAUAGUGAAAUCCCUGUGUUGCAGGGGACUGGAUGUAGCCCUAUUAUUUUGGGGCGAAACAGUAUAAAAUUGUCUGUGUGCAUCGUCUACUUUACUCUCUCUCACUUCCGCUGCACCAAACGAUAUUGACCACGAGAAAUAUCUCUCUAUUCUUUGGAAAUCCAAAAUUUUGAACGACACAAUUCAAACCCCAUUUUCUUGUGCUACUCUGAUUUCAACUUCACACCCUUCUUUUUCUUUUUUCGAAUUUUAUAACCCUUUUUUGUGUUGUUUCAUUUUCAUUGAUUAUUCUAGAAUGGGUAUAUAUACAUAUAUAUUUUUUCCCAAUUUGUUUAAAGCCUCAAUUUAACAUUAACAAAUGACACAACACAAAACAAAAGUGUCAAAGAAAGAUUAAAUAUCUAUGCACCGUUAGUGUAAAUUUUAUUUACACUUACAUUAAAUUGAAUUUCGUCAAAUUAGAAAAUAUGUUUCUAUUUUAUUUUAAACUAAAAAUGAAUAUAACUAUCUCUCUUACGUGACAUAUAUUAAUUGAAUGCCAGUGUAAUAUAGUUUUACACUGACUGUACAUGUCCAUUAAACAAAAAAAUUAAACAAGUGGUAAAACCCAAUGAAACCCACAUUAGCCAUCAAUUGUUUUUGGGUUAAAUAUGCUAUUCGUCCCUGAACUUAAGCGAGAUUUUGGUUUCCACCACUGUACUAAAAUUUCAUAGUUU